CGCUCGCUCCGCCAUGACGGACGUCAAAACUACCAAUGCGCUCCUUUAAAGCCCGACAAAAAAACAGACAUCUGCUAGCCUAACAUCGCUCUUAAUUCGUUGAUUUCACUUUUGAAAAUGGUCUCAGGAUGCUGCGCGGUCGGAUAGAAACCUAACUUAUCAUUUUAUUGCAGAACUUUUAAUGAGGAAAAAUUCGGCUGUGGAUAGCGGCUGUUAAUCAUAAUGGCCGCCAGCUGUCAAUCAUUAUUACUGUCAGCCCUCGGUGUAUCCGCGGAUUUGCAGCGAACACUUUUUUACAAGGAUCCACACUGUGCAGCUGGCCAUGUCUGCUGACCUGGAAGAGAUCCAAGAGUCACACAGCCUGUCAUUUCUCAGGAUUCCUCCAGACCAGAGGCGUAACACAGGAAAUAUUUAAAAUCAAUGAACAAAGCAACAUGUGAAAAAACAAACCAUUUUUAAGAUACAGUGAGCAGAGGGGAGGCGGUUGUUGUCCGGAUCACAUUGAUCUGUAAUGAUUCCACUGUUGUUUUCUGACCCGAAGCACCUUCAGAUUUACUCAUUGUUCUCUCUCAGAUAUUGAUCAGUCGUCCUCAGAAUGACCUACAGAAUCCGAAUCAUAAAUUUCACUUUGUCUUUUGAGCAAUGUGUCAAUUUCAGAGGAGGCUGAGGAAAGCCCUGAGUUAUUGAUUGGACACCUGAUGGUCCCAGCAGGGUGGAAGCCCGCUGAUUGUUGUUAUGUAGUUGGACCCAGCAGUCAAGCUCGACCUCAAGGCAGAACCGAGAAAACUUUCUACUCUUUGGCCAUUCUUGUUUUCAAAAUCCUCCAAAUUAUUUCUGAUCAGGAUGUUUACGGAGAUGCUAAGGCAUCAUCACAUCUUUCCCCCCCAAUUUGUUUGGUGCAUUUUUCUGAUCAGGAUUAAAGUUCUUACAACUGUUGGUUCAAAAGCCACAACAUUUAGCCAGUUGUGCACGUUAUAGUAGCAAAUUCUGUCUAACAAAAUGUAAGUCCUGUUGGACAUGCAUCAAUUCUGUCUGCUGUUUUAUAACAUUAUCAUUUGUUUCAAAAUUAACUCUCUAUGAUUUCUAACUUACCAUGCCUUAUAAAACUGAAAGAGUCACUACAUACAAAAAUAUUUAAAAUCUGUCAUUUUUAUGCACAUUCUUUCCAGAAAUUGGCUCCCAAAUUGAACCAUUACCCUCAGCUUUCAGAAAUGGCUUUGUUUACAGUUGUGCAGUUUUAUUUACUGUUCUUUACUUUCUCACAAUGCUGUGAAGAAAUUAGAGCUGCAGAGAGCAAAAUGUGAAGCAGACGCAUUCAGUGUCUUGUACUCAUUUAUCUCACUAGAUGCAGUAAUGUGUGAACAGCCGUUUGAACAUUUUCAGGCAGUGUCUCUGAGACCUGAAGCUCUUAGCAUUGGAAAACACUCAGAGGGAACCGUGAAAACAUGACAAAGCCAUUUGAGCAUGUUGUACAUUAACAUGGUGUCAUGACUUUUCAUUUUGAUGACACUUUCACUGAUAGAAAUAUUUGCUUUUGAUGAAUAAACUAUCCGUUCUGAGAAAGU